rnacentral:rRNA from 1 species
GAUGAACGCUGGCGGCGUGCUUAACACAUGCAAGUCGAACGGUGAAGGUGGGAGCUUGCUCCUGCUGGAUCAGUGGCGAACGGGUGAGUAACACGUGAGUAACCUGCCCCGGACUCUGGGAUAAGCGUUGGAAACGACGUCUAAUACCGGAUACGAGACGAGAAGGCAUCUUCAUCGUCUGGAAAGAUUUUUUGGUCUGGGAUGGACUCGCGGCCUAUCAGGUUGUUGGUGAGGUAAUGGCUCACCAAGCCUACGACGGGUAGCCGGCCUGGGAGGGUGACCGGCCACACUGGGACUGAGACACGGCCCAGACUCCUACGGGAGGCAGCAGUGGGGAAUAUUGCACAAUGGGCGAAAGCCUGAUGCAGCAACGCCGCGUGAGGGACGACGGCCUCGGGGUUGUAAACCUCUUUUAGUAGGGAAGAAGCGAAAGUGACGGUACCUGCAGAAAAAGCACCGGCUAACUACGUGCCAGCCGCCGCCGUAA